AACUACCUCACCUCCAACUUCCAAAUCACUUUCUCCUCCCGCAACCCAAAUGACAAAAUAGGCAUCUACUACGACAGGCUUGACGUCUACGCGACGUACCAUAGCCAGCAGAUCACUCUCCGUACAGCAAUCCCGCCCAAUUACCAAGGCCACAAGGAACUCAACGUCUGGUCACCGAACGUCUACGGAACUGCCAUCCCAGUCGCGCCGUACAACUCUCUGUCGCUGAGUCAGGACCAGUCCACCGGAGCAGUGUCGCUGACGAUCAAGAUGGAUGGACGGGUGAGAUUCAAAGUUG
rnacentral:misc_RNA from 1 species